AACCCUCAAAAGAAAAAGCUUAACUGCUUUCUCUUUUGGAAUUGGAGCGUGCUGGCCUUCUGUUUGGGAAGCCCAGCUCCUCUGAAAUGAAUUAGCGAUGUGACAUCCACACGGCACCACGCUUCCCCGGCAUUGAUAGUAUCUUCAUGUCCGAGCGUGUUUGUGCAGCUGUGGAAAGCUUUGCUCGCUCAUAGCUUUGAUGGGUCAGCCCGUCCUUUGACCA
rnacentral:misc_RNA from 1 species